rnacentral:rRNA from 1 species
AGUAACACGUGGGUGACCUGCCCUGCACUUCGGGAUAAGCCUGGGAAACUGGGUCUAAUACCGGAUAGGACCGCACCGUGAGGGUGUGGUGGAAAGUUUUUUCGGUGUGGGAUGGGCCCGCGGCCUAUCAGCUUGUUGGUGGGGUAAUGGCCUACCAAGGCGGCGACGGGUAGCCGGCCUGAGAGGGUGGACGGCCACAUUGGGACUGAGACACGGCCCAGACUCCUACGGGAGGCAGCAGUGGGGAAUAUUGCACAAUGGGCGGAAGCCUGAUGCAGCGACGCCGCGUGGGGGAUGACGGCCUUCGGGUUGUAAACUCCUUUCACCAUCGACGAAGGGUUUCUGACGGUAGAUGGAGAAGAAGCACCGGCUAACUACGUGCCAGCAGCCGCGGUAAUACGUAGGGUGCGAGCGUUGUCCGGAAUUACUGGGCGUAAAGAGCUCGUAGGUGGUUUGUCGCGUCGUCUGUGAAAUUCCGGGGCUUAACUCCGGGCGUGCAGGCGAUACGGGCAUAACUUGAGUACUGUAGGGGAGACUGGAAUUCCUGGUGUAGCGGUGAAAUGCGCAGAUAUCAGGAGGAACACCGGUGGCGAAGGCGGGUCUCUGGGCAGUAACUGACGCUGAGGAGCGAAAGCAUGGGGAGCGAACAGGAUUAGAUACCCUGGUAGUCCAUGCCGUAAACGGUGGGCGCUAGGUGUGGGUUUCCUUCCACGGGAUCCGUGCCGUAGCUAACGCAUUAAGCGCCCCGCCUGGGGAGUACGCCGCAAG